GUAGCUCAGAUCCCUGAAUACAAACCAGUCAUAGAGGAAACAAAGGGACCAUCCCAGGACCAACGUAAAUCCAUUUUUGGUGGGAUUCAGUUUUCUUCCCCUUCAUUAGCAGGCUUCAUGAGGUGACUCGUGAAGCUGUAUGAUUAUACUACCUCUGACAAGGACAACCCCUACGGCAGGCCUGCAGUGUGACACCAACAUCAAACCACUGGGCCCAACCACGCUGUACGAGGUUGUUCAUGCCGAACAAAAUGAAACCUAAAAGAAUGAACAGCAUGCAGUUAAUCCAAAGAUAAAGUGUGGAUGAGCACUGAGUUGGAGCAGAGAGGUUUAUACUAUAGUAUUGGAUUAGCAGCUGUCAUUGCUCGGCACUUUAGGGCAGGUGAGAGGAAGAAUACACCCCAGUGUUUGAACAUUCACAACAAAAGACACAUGCUCAGGUAAACUUGCUCUCAUGCUUACGCAAUAGGCUGUCUUUCUUUCCAGUGUAAAGGACAAACCCGACAGUCAAAAGAAAACAUCCAAUCCAAGGUGGGUGUAUAGAGUGAGGUAAACAUUCAACCAGGUAGAGUAUAACGUGAUCCAAAAGUAUGAAUGAGGUUUUUAUCACAAUGAUCAUAUGACAGGUUCAAACUACAUGUAUAUUACAAUAGCAGUAAGGAAAGAAAGAAAAAGAAAAUAAAAUGUUCUAUUCAAGUGCAGUAAUAUAGCUUCUGUUGCUUCCAUGGUAUCUGGCUGUUUAGAUAUUAAUAGAAAGUACGUAUUUCAUAAUAGGCUAAUUUGUUUUAUUGGGGCAUUAAGCAGAAGUGAAGAGAAUGUAAAAGUAGUCACAUUAGUCAGUUGUAAAUAAUUGUACAUGUGACGAUAUAGCUUGGAAGACAGCAAAAGUAUUUUUCCUCAUUUCAUACGUCUUACAAUUGCUCAUGCAAUCAAAUGUCAAUGGUCGUGUCAAAUCAAGAC